GGAUGGGUCUGCGGCCGAUUAGGUAGUUGGUUAGGUAAUGGCUUACCAAGCCGUUGAUCGGUACGGGUUGUGAGAGCAAGAGCCCGGAGAUGGAACCUGAGACAAGGUUCCAGGCCCUACGGGGUGCAGCAGGCGCGAAACCUCCGCAAUGUGAGAAAUCGCGACGGGGGGAUCCCAAGUGCCAUUCUUAACGGGAUGGCUUUUCAUUAGUGUAAAAAGCUUUUGGAAUAAGAGCUGGGCAAGACCGGUGCCAGCCGCCGCGGUAACACCGGCAGCUCUAGUGGUAGCAACUUUUAUUGGGCCUAAAGCGUCCGUAGCCGGUUUAAUAAGUCUCUGGUGAAAUCCUGUAGCUUAACUGUGGGAAUUGCUGGAGAUACUAUUAGACUUGAGACCGGGAGAGGUUAGAGGUACUCCCAGGGUAGAGGUGAAAUUCUGUAAUCCUGGGAGGACCGCCUGUUGCGAAGGCGUCUAACUGGAACGGUUCUGACGGUGAGGGACGAAAGUUAGGGGCGCGAACCGGAUUAGAUACCCGGGUAGUCCUAACUGUAAACGAUGCGGACUUGGUGUUGGGGUGGCUUUGAGCUGCUCCAGUGCCGAAGGGAAGCUGUUAAGUCCGCCGCCUGGGAAGUACGAUCGCAAGACUGAAACUUAA
rnacentral:rRNA from 1 species